UGAAAGCCCCUAGGACUGGAUAAGCUGAACAAGGUCUGCCGACAGCAUCCCUGAGCGUUUCCUAGAGACCCUUUGGAGAAGGCAGUGGGUGAGGUCACAAUUGAACCUUGAAAACUCAGUGCCACCACAGAGGAAGGAUUUGGCUGGGCCAUUGUUUGGACCAGGGUGGAUUUCCAGCAGAGACGUGGUCAGAGGACAGCUGCUCCCUGUGGCCCACCCCCGGCUCCCAGGAGCAGGUCAGAGCAGAACACUUGUGAGGUGCAAUGAGGGUCCUCAGUUGAACCUCUUUCCUGGAGGGGAGAGCAGGAGCUUCGUCAGCACAUGGUCAUGACCAGCCAAGUCCAGACAAGCAGCUGAGCCUAGGCCAGAAGCCCCAGGUGCCAUUCUGUCCUCAGGGUGGUGGUGGCAAUGAGUGACAAGAGCUGACUGCUUCCUCUGAGCACCUCACCUCCACUUCCCCAGAUCAGCUAAGGUUUGGGCUUCCAGACCACCCAGGGCACAAAACCCUGGCUCCUGGCCCCAUUUCCCGGAGUGAGCGGAUCUGGGUUGACAGGGCAGUGCCGCCGUCCUGUUGAGCUUCUCCAGCUGAGCCAGGAGUCCUUGGGCCAGGCCUGGUCCUCUCUUGGCAGGUGAGAAGAAGGACUUCAGGGACAUUUCCUGCAGACGGCAUGCUAGAUGCUGGGCUCGGCGCCGGUUUUAAAAACAUGCAAACAAACAAAAAGCCCCCAAGGGAGACUGUCCUGUAAAUAAAUAACCAAGGCUCACCGUAUAGAGUGCAGUAAUAGAGGAUGCUGUCAAUUGCAAGAAGCCCCAUGGAUUUAAGGACAUUCAAAAAAAGGGUUUUUUUUGAGGAGGAAGAAACAUGGCCACAUUAAACAAAUCCAUCAACGCAUUCACUUUUUUAGAAAUAUUAAUAUAUGAAAAAAUGCACAUCUUAGAAUUAGGAAAAUUCUUCUUGGUUCUUGUCAGCCUCCAGAAAAACUUGGCUGUCCCGGAAGAUGUGCGAUGUUUGCCCCUGGCUCCGUGUCCCCAUCAUACAGAAGUGGGGAGCACAGGAUGAGGUCACGCUUUUUGCCAACCCCCAAAUAACUCCAAGACGUUGAGGAGAGAGAGCCCUCUGGGCUGUGUGUGGCUCUAUGACAAGGGCCUGUUUAAGUGCAUUCGUGUCCUCUUGCCUGUCUGUAAACUCCUCAAGGGCAGGCCCUGGUAACCACACAUCUACACAGGACCAAGUCACACCUGAACUCUGCCAGGCUGCCUCAGCCUGCCCCCGAGGCGCCCCCUGUCGGUGGGAAGAUGGGCAGGUGGGCUGUGAACCCAUCUGCUAACACAGCAGUGUGAGCUCAGUGUGGCUGAAGAGCUGCCAGAGCUCAGAGGAGGGCUCCAUGAAUCUAGCGGACCAGAGGCGGAGGGUGGGGUCAGUGUGGGGGGAUAGAUCGCUGAGGAGGUGACAUCUGAAGGAUGAAAGAAAUUCCCCAGAGGGAUGGAGGGCAUUCCUAGCAGGGGAACAGCAUGAGCAAAGCUCAAGUCUUGGGAGUACACAGCACAUAGAGGAUGGUAUGGGUAUGAAAGUGUAUGUGUGUGUGUGUGUGAGAGAGAGAGGCUCCUAUUUGUGUUCAUCUAUCUUUCCUUGGUCUCUGGCUUCCCCCGUGAGACCCUUCCCCAGGGCUCUUGGUCUAGCCCUGAACUCUAUGGGCCACUCGUGCUCCCCUCUGGGCUCAGAGCUUCUGCACUUCAGCCCCACAGUGCUUCCCUGUUCCCUCAGCAGCUCCCCGCCUUGACUUUGUUCUUCCUAAGCCUGCCCUCAGCUUGGCCUCCAGAAGGACACUUGAUCCCAUCCCAUGACUGGCGGUGGGGUGCGGCCCUCAGAGCAGCUGCAAGGAUGUUGACUCCAGAUGGAAAGUGUUUCGAGAAUUCUGACGUGACAUCACACCAUCACGACAUUGCGCUGACAGUAACUGAUCUGGGAGUGGCCAGGCAAAGGAAAGCACAAAUGUGACGUUAAACACACAGAGGAGACCCCACAUCAGUGACUCACACAGAUGCUGCCAAGGAUCCAGCUGCUUCACACUGUGCAGACAAGAUGGGGGUCUGCAAGCCCGCGUGCGCCGGCAGGGCCCGAGAAGACUGCUGGAGAUUCUGUUUGCGCAUGAAGACACUGUAGGCUCCUCUGGCAGAUGCAGAAACUGUGGCUUAGAGAGGUCUGGAGCACCAGAUAUAUAAGGUGAGACCAGAACAGCUUGUACCAGAAGACAAGAAAGUUAUCGAACACCACUGGGGUCAUGUCAAAAGGACUCAGGUGCCGACCUGAAGGAGCUCCCACUGGACAAAAUGGCAUCGUUUGUGCUUCAAAAACAAAACUAAACAAACAAACAAAGACCCUGCAAUGAAUUGAAAUACAUCAAAUAUUUUAAAACUCCAUGAGUUCAAGAUGAUAAUUAAAAAAAGACACUUGGAGGAUGCUUAGAAAAAACCAACUCACUCUUCCAAAAAUUGAUAAAGGGAAAGCGAACUCUGGGGCUUCCCAAUGAUAUUGUGAAGUUGCACAUUCGUUGGAAGGCCUCCCAUGUACUCCCAAGACUCUCCCUCUGGCUUUCUCCAGGCCUAAAUUUCCACCAUUAGAGACUCCUUUCUUUGGGUUAAGAAAUGUCCUGAGUCAAAGCCAAAGUACGCUUGGGAAAAGUUUGUUAACUACUUUGCUCACAGAUUGGGAUGGAGAAAAAGUGGAAAAUCCUAUGGUCCCUGGAGUCCGACAGAUAGGGAUCCAGCCAGAGAGAAGGAGCUGAGGGUCAAAGAACUUGGCAGCAUCAUCCAGGGCAGGAGGACUACCUGGGCUGCCUAUCCAAAGUUCAGCUCCUCAGUAGACACCUCAGGUGGUGUCUGAUCCAGCAGGUGGAAAGAAUGGCAGAAAUAUACAUUUUAUUACACAUCUCAGGUGACUCG
rnacentral:lncRNA from 1 species